UUUUAACUCUAGUGGCGGACGGGUGAGUAACACGUGAGAAUCUACCCUAAGGAGGGGAAUAACAGCUGGAAACGGUUGCUAAUACCCCAUAUGCCGAGAGGUGAAAUGAAUUUCGCCUGAGGAUGAGCUCGCGUCUGAUUAGCUAGUUGGUGUGGUAAAGGCUCACCAAGGCAUCGAUCAGUAGCUGGUCUGAGAGGAUGAUCAGCCACACUGGGACUGAGACACGGCCCAGACUCC
rnacentral:rRNA from 1 species